CCUACGGGAGGCAGCAGUGAGGAAUAUUGGUCAAUGGGCGGGAGCCUGAACCAGCCAAGUCGCGUGAGGGAAGACGGUCCUAUGGAUUGUAAACCUCGUUAGGCGGGGAGCAAUGCCGGGCACGCGUGCCCGGAGGGAGAGUACCCGCAGAAUAAGCAUCGGCUAACUCCGUGCCAGCAGCCGCGGUAAUACGGAGGAUGCGAGCGUUAUCCGGAUUUAGUGGGGUUAAAGGGUGCGUAGGCGGAUUUUUAAGUCAGCGGUAAAAUGUCCGGGCUCAACCCGGGCCGGCCGUUGAAACUGGGGAUCUUGAGUGGGCGAGAAGUAUGCGGAAGGCGUGGUGUAGCGGUGAAAUGCAUAGAUAUCACGCAGAACUCCGAUUGCGAAGGCAGCAUACCGGCGCCCGACUGACGCUGAGGCACGAAAGCGUGGGGAUCGAACAGGAUUAGAUACCCGGGUAGUC
rnacentral:rRNA from 1 species